UUGUGUGGGGUUGUGAGAGCAGGGAGGAGAAGGAUCCAGGAAGAGCUAAUCACAAAAAUCUUGAGACAAGUCCAGGUGUGCGGCAAAGAUGAUGGUGUCAGAAAUCAUUGUUUGAUAAAAACUUGCAGAUAGAGUAAACAAACACUGAGAGAAAAAUAAUCAGAAUGUUACAUCUCUGAAACCUUGAAACUUGCACAGUCAUUUAAGCGGUAUGUGGCUCCCAUAAAACCAAUUAAUUUAUCUUCAUU
rnacentral:lncRNA from 1 species